rnacentral:lncRNA from 1 species
ACCCUCAUUUUCGCAGAAGACACACAUUUCAUUGAUCUGAAUAUGUUACUUCAUCAACCUGUCUUUUGUGUACAAUCGAUUCAUAAUAACCAGUCUUACCAUGAAAAUCCACUUAGCAGCACCAAAGUUGUUACAUAUCAAUUUCCUCCAAGCAACCUUCUGAAACUCACCAGUAAGUUACUGUAUAUUUUCCUGAUAGAAAACUUCUCCAUGUUAGUGAGAUCAUGAAUAGUGAAACCUGCUUCCUGGGCAUAUUGUUGAGCUUUAAAAAUUUUCUACAGCAGCCAUGAUGCUUGUUUGCGCAUUACAUCCCUGAUAGAAUUUUCCUUGAUGUAGUAGGAAUGGACCUAUUGCGCCUAGAGCUUGUCUUUCUUCUUUCAUAAAUUCCAUAGAAGUUUAAGUAUAGCAGCCUUAUUCCACAAUGCAAUGUCAAUGAGGUUGACUCCACUAGCCACCACAGGCUACACAAUGCUUCCCAGGCUAUUAGUGCUUUCUUGAAUACUUCUGUCCUUCCAGUCCAUGAGAACUUUCUACAUAUACCUUCCAUAGCUUGAACAACUUCUUUAGGAAGUAAAAACACAUUUGAACAGUAAGAUUGUAUUGAAAACAAAAUACUUUUAAUCAACUGCAGUCUUCCAAAAUAAGAUAAGUAUCUAGUAGCCCAGGAAGUAAUCCUGCCCAUAAUUUUCUCCACUAGAGGUUGACAUUGCAGUAAAGACAUUUUCUUGGUACUAAGAGGAACCCCUAAAAGUAAUUCUUCAUUGAACCCAAGGAUCUGUAGUAUUUGUUGUCUAAUAGCACUAUUAACUCCAGCAAUAUAUAUUGAACUCUUGUUAGAAUUUGCCUGCAAUCCUGAUACAACUGAGAAGUUAGAGUAGCAUUCAAACAACUUAGCAACUGAAUUGAUGCCCCCCUUACAGAACAAAAGUAGAUCAUCCACAAAAGCAAGUUGUAUCAUCUUGAACGUAGCAUAUUUAGGGUGGUAAUGAAAUUCUGAAUGUGCAUCUAGCCCCUUCAACAACCUAGUUAAAUACUUUAUUAUGAUAAUAAAGAGGUAAGAGGAUAAAAGAUCCCCCUGCCUCAGACCUCUAGCUGCAGGAAAUGGAGGUGUUGGAGCAACAUUUAUCACCACAGAGUAAGAUACUGUACUUAUACAUUGCAUAAUCUAGUGUAAAUUUGUUUAAUUAAUGGACACUCCACAUAAUCAUAAAAUUUUUGAAUAUUAAUUUUUAACAUACAUCUAGGAGACGCCCUUUUCCUUCAUAAACUUUGACCAGCUCAUGGCCUAAGAUGAUAUUAUCCUAAAUUAUUCUGCUAGGUACGAAAGUUGCUUGGCUGGAAUCUACUAAUGCAUUCACCACAUGCUUCAAUCUAUGAGUUAGGACUUUAAAAAUGAUCUUGUAAAUUAUAGUACAAGAAGAGAUUGGUCUAAGCUCCUUAAUAGUAAUAGGAUUGUUAACCUUUGAAAUUAAUGUCACACUUGUACAAUGCACAGGCUUGAACAUUUUACCACUGCUGAAAAAGUCAAGGAUAGCAUCAACAACAACAUCACCAAUGAUAUGCCAAG